rnacentral:rRNA from 1 species
UAGUGAGUUUGAUCCUGGCUCAGAACGAACGCUGGCGGCAUGCUUAACACAUGCAAGUCGAACGAGACCUUCGGGUCUAGUGGCGCACGGGUGCGUAACGCGUGGGAAUCUGCCCUUAGGUACGGAAUAACAGUUAGAAAUGACUGCUAAUACCGGAUGAUGACGUAAGUCCAAAGAUUUAUCGCCCAAGGAUGAGCCCGCGUAAGAUUAGCUUGUUGGUGAGGUAAAGGCUCACCAAGGCGACGAUCUUUAGCUGGUCUGAGAGGAUGAUCAGCCACACUGGGACUGAGACACGGCCCAGACUCCGUACGGGGAGGCAGCAGUGGGGAAUAUUGGACAAUGGGCGAAAGCCUGAUCCAGCAAUGCCGCGUGAGUGAUGAAGG